CAAGCCUGAUCCAGCCAUGCCGCGUGGGUGAAGAAGGCCUUCGGGUUGUAAAGCCCUUUUGUUGGGAAAGAAAAGCAGCCGGCCAAUACCCGGUUGUUCUGACGGUACCCAAAGAAUAAGCCCCGGCUAACUUCGUGCCAGCAGCCGCGGUAAUACGAAGGGGGCUAGCGUUGCUCGGAAUUACUGGGCGUAAAGGGCGCGUAGGCGGACUGUUUAGUCAGAGGUGAAAGCCCAGGGCUCAACCUUGGAAUUGCCUUUGAUACUGGCAGUCUUGAGUACGGAAGAGGUGUGUGGAACUCCGAGUGUAGAGGUGAAAUUCGUAGAUAUUCGGAAGAACACCAGUGGCGAAGGCGACACACUGGGCCGUUACUGACGCUGAGGCGCGAAAGCGUGGGGAGCAAACA
rnacentral:rRNA from 1 species